rnacentral:rRNA from 1 species
GCAAGUCGAACGAGAUUCUUUUCUUCGGAAGAGAUGACAGUGGCGCACGGGUGCGUAACGCGUAUGCAACCUACCUUUUACUGGGGGAUAGCCCGGAGAAAUUCGGAUUAAUACCUCAUGGUAUUCCAAGAUGGCAUCUGAAAGGAAUUAAAGAUUUAUUGGUAAAAGAUGGGCAUGCGUGACAUUAGGUAGUUGGUAAGGUAACGGCUUACCAAGCCAUUGAUGUCUAGGGGUCCUGAGAGGGUGAUC